rnacentral:tRNA from 7 species
GGAGAGGUGGCUGAGUGGUUGAUAGCUCCGGUCUUGAAAACCGGUAUAGUUCCAAGAACUAUCGAGGGUUCGAAUCCCUCUCUCUCCU